rnacentral:rRNA from 1 species
AUGAUGGGGCGGGGCGGGAGGCGGGGAAAGCCGUCCAUGGCGAUCCUGGUGGCGUUGCUAAUGGCAUCAGUGGCACUGCCGCUCCUCAUGGUGCCCGACACGCUCUCUAUGCCAGGCUCCAACGGCGUGGAUCGCGGCGCCGCCCUGUCGCUCCCACGCCCGUGCUUCAGCAGAUCCAUGUUCGAGAGGCUGGAGAAGAGCAGGGAGAAAAGGGAGUCGUGGAUGGAGACUUGUCCUACAUGGCCGAGCGAGAUCGAGGCUAGCCACCGGUAA